GAUGAACGCUAGCGGCAGGCUUAACACAUGCAAGUCGAGGGGUAUAGUUCUUCGGAACUAGAGACCGGCGCACGGGUGCGUAACGCGUAUGCAAUCUACCUUUUGCAGAGGGAUAGCCCAGAGAAAUUUGGAUUAAUACCUCAUAGUAUGUGAGAAUGGCAUCAUUUUCACAUUAAAGUCACAACGGCAAAAGAUGAGCAUGCGUCCCAUUAGCUUGUUGGUAAGGUAACGGCUUACCAAGGCAACGAUGGGUAGGGGUCCUGAGAGGGAGAUCCCCCACACUGAUACUGAGACACGGACCAGACUCCUACGGGAGGCAGCAGUGAGGAAUAUUGGACAAUGGGCGCAAGACCUCGAUCCAGCCAUGCCGCGUGCAGGAUGACGGUCCUAUGGAUGUAAACUGCUUUUGUUAC
rnacentral:rRNA from 1 species